UCUCUCUCUUAGUUCCUUUGCAGAGAAUGAGGAUGUCUUGGUGAUCUGAUGACCACAAAACAGACUGUAAUUGUCCACUUGACUUCUCAUCUCUGACAAAUGCCCUCAGUCUCUAAGUUCCUCCUCCCAAGAGAACGUCAGUCAAUAUUAUCUUUGAGUCUCAGAAGAGCUGAACAAUCUGUCAGGAUCAAAACAAGAGAGAACACCUUUAGGGAUUGAACUCAGCUAGAAGAAAAAAAAAGAGGUCAGAAUGAGCCAGCAGGAACAUAUAAGAGAAAUGUUUGACUCAGUGAACAGGAUGCAAAAUACAGAAGAGGUUUUCGGCAAGAAGCUUCGAUGUCAUACUCAUCAAAAGAUUCAAGAUCCAAAGUAUUUAGUGAUGUACAGCAAGGACGUUACCAAAUAAUUUUGUCCGUAAAGUUUAAAAAGGAGUCAUACUUUUUGAUUUGUUUGAUAUUUAAGAUUUUUUUCAAUGACUCCAUUUCUAUUACAGAUAAAUUACAAUUAAGCUAAGAGCUUAAAUGAGCCAAGUCUUCCGAUAGUAUAAAAAGUGAAGUUACUGUCAAUGUUUAUGAAUUUUGAUAAUGAUAUAUUGCACGGGUAAAUUUAGUGAAUAUUUUAAAAGGUACAUCUCUAAUCUCGAGUUUGUUUCAUAUCAUUUCACCUGGUAACUGUUGACGACACUCACGUCUUACGUAUUUACGUAUACUUGACGUCUGACGUCAUCUGAAGGACGACGCAUGGCACAUCGAGACGGAAGAGUUGGAAAAGUAUUGUUUCCCUCUAAUUUUAGAAAUAUUUAGUCAAAUAAAAGACACAGUAAAUUGAUAAUAUUGAACCAGAAACAUGAUCAGGUAUGUGUGAUGAAUUCUGAAAGAAAUGCUGUUUAGAGAAACUCGUUCUUCUCGGAAAGUGAAAGUCUGAUGUAGCUUGUUGCUCGUGUUUGUGUUUGGCCUGCUGUGUUUGGGUUGACAAAAAUGCUUCUUUUAAACUAGAAUCAAAAACAGGAUAACUCUUAAGCUUCAUGAAUACAUUAAACAUUAGUUAUUAUAAACCUGAUUAUCAGGUUGAUCUGCUUUAAGGUUUAUUUUGUUUUAGUUUUCUUGCUGUUAGCAAUGGCCUAGUUACAUAACUCCGCCAUCUUGGAUUUCCAGUCUUUCCGGUUGUGCUAAACGUCAGUUCAGAGGAUGUUUACAGGAUUUAUAAUAUCACUUCAAAUUCAAAUAAGAUAUACACUGCUAUUAUCACUAUACUACAAAUGUUAACUGAGCCAGUGGAUUUGAAACUUGUGUAUGUUUGGGUCUGGUGAAUGAAUUAAAUACACUAAUGUUCACUACUGUUCACGAAAUGGAAGUUGAAUUCAUGGUGUGUAUACACAGCUACAUAAUAUAUUUUUAUCUAACCAAAUAUGUAAAUGUAAAAAUUACUUAUUUCUCGAAAAAAUUUGUAUUACAUAGAUUUUUUUUUUCAAUUA